ensembl:lncRNA
AUCUCUAUCUGAAGAUUGCUCCUCUUAGAGUCCUUCUGUGAGCCCAGGACAUGGGCCUGGUAUUUAGAAACCCUGCUUCUACUAAAAAACCGCAUUGAUACAAAUUUCUCUUAAUAUUUGUGGAUGCCAGAGGCAGGUUCUUGAGCAGAAAGCAGUGUAAUGCUACAGUUCAGCAGUCAGCACAUCAACUCUCUUGGGAGGAAAUCUUUAGAAGCUCAUAGCAUGAAAGACAGCUCCUAAGUUGCAUGAGAGGGAUUUUAUCUGAAAAAUGAUUAGCAGAACAAUCCAACUGCAGUAUGUGAUUAUUGCACAAUCAAUGUAAGUGGGAGUAUCUUUUUAGAAAACGGUUGACUGCCAUAAGAAGAACCCUGAGGAGGUGUGGUAUAUAAGCCUGAGAUGCAGUUAUGAUUGCAAAACCUUAAGAUCUACAAUGUAGCACUGCAUUCUAACAGGGAAGACUGAAACUCCAAGGAUGUUGAUGGCUGCAUGCCAUAGUGUCUCAGGAUUGGUAAAUACUGAUACAGAAGGAAACAACAAGGCAAAUGAGCUAUCAGUGAAGAACAGGAGUUUCUGUGUGGAUGGAUAUUUAACUGGGGAUGAAGAAGGUGCCAUUUUACUUGUUUGUGGAUGCUCCAGGAUACACUGAAAAAAACAAGGUGCUCCCUACUUCACCAGAAUUGGGAUCUACAGAAAUUAGGGUGGGCUUUGUCAUGCUGCUCACUGGAGAGGAAAAUACCACCUUUUUUUGUAACUCAUAUGGCUAUAGUCAAAUGAAGAUGCUUCCUGUAUAGUUUUGACAUUUAGCUUUCCUCUUAGAAACAAAUUCAUGAGCAGUGUCGUCUUUGCUUUUUUAGUGGAAUAAAUUUAUCACAGGAUUGGCAGAUAUAAAAAAAAAAAGACUGAUUUCCUCCAUUGCCCACCAUCACAGAAAUUUUGUAGAGUGGAACAAUCUGAAAACUUGUGGUUUUAGAGCUUAUAUUACAUGUACUCAGAUAAGAACAUGCUGUAUGUACCUUUAUAAGUUAGUGGUCACCUGUGAAAAUAAGAGUGUUGUUCUUUCCAUCUUCCUGUUGCUAUCUCUAUCUGUAGAUGUCAAUGAAAAUUUUUGUCAGGGACUAAGAAUAUUUUUGUCAAUCUGCUUGAAAAUCCAGCAAUAUAUAACCCUUGACACAAAGUGUAUUUGAAGUCUUGCUGUGUUUUUAGUCUAUCUGUGAAAAUACUGUUUUACUUUGUGUCCUUAUCAUUGCAUUGUUUUCUUAUAUAGCUUAUACAGUUUAUCACUUUUAAUGUCCCUCAGGAAAAAGUUCCAGUUCAUGCUUUCACCAGUAAAUCUAUCACAUUGAUUUUUAGAUUUGAUGAUAUUCAAAGUAAUCUUAUGUAGGAUAAGUGAAUCUAUUGAAAGGUAUUAGUAAUAAACCUAUUACUGGGAUAGAAUGACAUAAUUUAGGGUCCAUAAUAAUCAGUUAGAUCCACUGUGUAUCACCUUUUGUAAAUGUUCACUAAUUUUCAUAAAAUAAAGGUGUUCUUCACUUC